UGACGCGCUCCGGUUUCAAGUCCAUCCACCGAAGACAACGUCAAUUUUUCUUGCCCAAGAGACUGACGAACUUGCUUUAAUCUCGAGGCUCGGUUCCGAUCUCGAAAAAUGAGGACCUCAAAUUCGUUGGUUGUACUAAUCGUGGUCGGCUAUUUUGCGAUUUUAUGCUACGGAUCUCAGUCGUAUGGUUUAAUACAUCGGAAUGUUUUAAAGGGAAUUGAAAGAGUGUUGGUCAGUGAGCGCAAUUCUUUUGGAAAGGACUUCAAGAGGUUUUGUUUUGAAUAAGAAAAAGAAAAGUGGCUGAACUUGACAAAAGGAGCUGUCUGCUUUGGAGGGGGUGGAAGCGAAUAUGCCACCCUCGUGGCACCAAUCGAGGGCUUUCUGAUGUCAAUUAAAUUAACCCACGUCAGUGGACUAAGCUCAUGUGAGAGAAAUUCUCCCCAAUACAACAGUAUGUGGGGUUGCUCUCGCAGUCAUCCUGUACAUGGCGGAUCGCCUUUUAACGUCGUCAUAACAACGGCACCCAGGAAUGACACCCUCUUCCCGACGCAUUUUUUUCUCGAGGACAACAAGGGAUCCUACUGGUACGACAAACCGGAAGUGGGCCCUAACUCGCCGGAAAUAAUCCUUACAGACCCAUCAAAUCCCGUUUAUGUUACUACGAACCAAGAGCUACGCGUGUGGUUUGGAGAAGACCUGUCAAACCCUGGUGUGAAAAAACAAGGAGGAAGAGUCUGCAUAACUGCGCGAGCCUGGUACAAGCAUUGAGCUGUCUAGAUGUCACGUGAUCGAUCACAUGUUUAAAGCCUCUUGAUGAAAUUUCAGAAUGACAUCGAGGGAAAAAACUGACUUUUGUUGCUAUUUAGCUCAGUAGUGUUGUAAUUUACGAAAUACUAUCUCUAAGAGUAUAUAUCUUAAGGUUUUAUUGAAAAGUUAGACAUGUUGGAAACAAGACAAGGUAAAACAAGACUAGAUGUAAGGCUAAUGUUGACGGUUCAAACUUUGAAUCGCAAUUCUAACAAUCAUUGUAAGAGAAAAUACAAAUCAACUACAGCAUUUACGUUCCCGAUAACCCCCUCGGUUAAUUGUCACUUUAACCAAGAGUAAAGAACGAACCCCUUUCGCAUAGUCCAGGAAAAUAAAGAGAAAGCAGUCAAGUGUUA